UGCAGCCCGCAGAUCGGGGCGUGCCUCAACGUGGGCGGAGUUAAACGUUGAGCUCCGCCCACCUUGAACUAAACGUGGGCGGAGUUAAACGUUUAACUCCGCCCGCAUAGCGCAGUUGAACCGUUGAAGAAGAAGAAGAAUGUAUUAGAGAAGAAGAAGAAGUUUCCAAAAUGGAGAGAAUAGAGCACGUGUUUGCUGCAAACAGCCGCGUCAUUGCCACAUGGUUUCCACCAUCAUCCACAAACCCCAUGGAUCACCUGCCGGUAAUUUGUUAAAAAGUUUUGCUUUUGUAGUGGAGUUUGAGCAUUUCAUAUUCAGUUAUUGAUAUCUUUUUACAGGACAAUGCAGCCAGUCUCCAGUGGGUUCUGCUUCCUAUUUGUACCUGGACACUGGAUACUCUGCACAUUGCUCACAUCUCCUGGCCCUUGGAGGCAGCUUGGUGUGAAUGAUGUUCAGGAAAACAUGCUGCAGAUUAGAAGAUGGUGGUGUCUUGUUCUCCUGCAGAACUUCCCCAUGCCAUCUGAAGAAGAGAGAUUGCAGCAAAGAAAAAGGCAACAAGAGCAGAAAAAACUACAGGUUGAGAGGUCAUGUGAUAAAUUGGUAUAUAGUGAAACUAUUGCUCGAAGACUGAUCCCCACCACUUAUUUCAGUAUGUGGCUGAAGUCCCCCUGAAAAUGUUUAGGCUUUCAGAAUCUGCCACUGAAGCAUCAGAUGAGGCUGAGAACAGGACUGGGAACAGGAAACGGGGAGAAUCCUUUGAUCAGGGAUGCAAUGGCGGCAGCCCGGUGGUGUGGGACCAGAACUUUCAAGGGAAAAAUUUCCCUUCCCCAAGUUGUUACCAUGGCCAAGGAGCAACGCGUGAGGGCAGGGAACUCCUGUGUGUCUGUGAUGGCCAGGAAGAAGAGGAGACCGCUGAUCUCAGAGAACCGUUCCUUUUUCUUUUUAGUCUGCAGGAAGACUAUGAGACAUUCUGUCAAGAAAUCAUUGACAGGAGAAACAUGAAGGUGUUUUGUGCUUUUGACAGAAAAGAAUAAAGUUGUGUUCAACGGUG